UUGAUCCUGGCUCAGAAUCAACGCUGGCGGCGUGCCUCAGACAUGCAAGUCGAACGCGAAAGUCCCCUUCGGGGGAUAAGUAGAGUGGCGCACGGGUGAUUAACACGUAGGUAAUCUACCUUCGGGUGGGGAAUAACCCAGGGAAACUUUGGCUAACACCGCAUAAUGCAGCGGCACCACAUGGUGACAGUUGUUAAAGUGGGGGAUUUUCGGACCUCGCGCCUGAAGAGGAGCCUGCGGCAGAUUAGCUAGUUGGUAAGGUAACGGCUUACCAAGGCGACGAUCUGUAGCCGGCCUGAUAGGGCGGUCGGCCACACUGACACUGACAUACGGGUCAGACUCCUACGGGUGGCAGCAGUCGGGAAUUUUGGGCAAUGGGCGAAAGCCUGACCCAGCAACUCCGCGUGAAGGAUGAAAUCCCUCGGGAUGUAAACUACGCAAGAAUGGGAUGAAUUAGUAGGGGUUAAUACCCCCUAUGAUGACGGUACCAUUUGUAAGCUCCGGCUAACUCCGUGCCAGCAGCCGCGGUAAUAAGGGCGU
rnacentral:rRNA from 1 species